UACGUAGGGUGCAAGCGUUGUCCGGAAUUAUUGGGCGUAAAGAGCUCGUAGGCGGUUUGUCGCGUCUGCUGUGAAAACUCGGGGCUUAACCCCGGGCCUGCAGUGGGUACGGGCAGACUAGAGUGCGGUAGGGGAGACUGGAAUUCCUGGUGUAGCGGUGAAAUGCGCAGAUAUCAGGAGGAACACCGGUGGCGAAGGCGGCGACCUGGUCCUUUUACUGACGCUGAGGCGCGAAAGCGUGGGGAGCAAACAGG
rnacentral:rRNA from 1 species